rnacentral:rRNA from 1 species
AUUGAACGCUGGCGGCAGGCCUAACACAUGCAAGUCGAGCGGCAGCGACUUAACUGAACCUUCGGGGAACGUUAAGGGCGGCGAGCGGCGGACGGGUGAGUAAUGCCUGGGAAUAUGCCCUGAUGUGGGGGAUAACUAUUGGAAACGAUAGCUAAUACCGCAUAAUCUCUUCGGAGCAAAGAGGGGGACCUUCGGGCCUCUCGCGUCAGGAUUAGCCCAGGUGGAUUAGCUUGUGGUGGGUAAUGGCUCACCAGGCACGAUCCCUAGCUGGUCUGAGAGGAUGACAGCCACACUGGAACUGAGACACGGUCCAGACUCCUACGGGA